UAUAGUAAUAGUAUAUGCUAAUUAGAGACAAGAGUGAAGAGUGUAGAGACAAGAUUAAACUCUACAAAUAUCAGUUAUAGUUGAGCAACUAUAGAGUAAAGUGAGAAUAUUGCUCUUUGGUAGCAAGAACUAAUAACGACCAAGUUGAUAAAUAAUUGGAAAGUUAUUUUUUAAAAUUGUAAUUAUUUAUAUGAUGUGAGGAUUCAAAUUAAUUCCUAUUGAAAAAUGUCGAAAAUACUGAUUCUAUUAAUUGCCAUUCUGGUUUUCAUCUCCAUGAUGCGAGUCACCGUUGCGCAAUGUGCCGAACAUGAGGAGCCUUGCACGCAAGAUAGCGACUGCUGUUCAGGAAAAUGCGUUUGGAUGGAGAUAAGACCCAUUUCUGGUAACAAUGGACGCUACUACGGAUGCUCAAGAGUAUGGAAUUUCUAGUAUGCAGUGAUUUAUACCGCAGUUCAUUCAUUGAUCAGAAUUAUGAUUGAUACAAAGCAUAUUAAUUUUUAAAAAGUUUGUUAUCUGCACUGACAAUAUCAAAUAUUUUGUACUCGAUAAAAUAAUAAAAAAUUACAGAACUAAUUA